rnacentral:rRNA from 1 species
GUGCCAGCCGCCGCGGUAAUACCGGCAGCUCAAGUGAUGGCCGAUCUUAUUGGGCCUAAAGCGUCCGUAGCUGGCCUCGCAAGUCCGUCGGGAAAUCCAGUAGCUCAACUACUGGGCGUCCGGCGGAAACUACAAGGCUUGGGACCGGAAGGCUCGAGGGGUACGUCCGGGGUAGGAGUGAAAUCCCGUAACCCCGAACGGACCACCGAUGGCGAAAGCACCUCGAGAAGACGGCUCCGACAGUGAGGGACGAAAGCUAGGGUCUCAAACCGGAUUAGAAACCCGGGUGUCC